GAUGAACGCUGGCGGCGUGCCUAAUACAUGCAAGUCGAGCGAACGGACGAGAAGCUUGCUUCUCUGAUGUUAGCGGCGGACGGGUGAGUAACACGUGGAUAACCUACCUAUAAGACUGGGAUAACUUCGGGAAACCGGAGCUAAUACCGGAUAAUAUUUUGAACCGCACGGUUCAAAAGUGAAAGACGGUCUUGCUGUCACUUAUAGAUGGAUCCGCGCUGCAUUAGCUAGUUGGUAAGGUAACGGCUUACCAAGGCAACGAUGCAUAGCCGACCUGAGAGGGUGAUCGGCCACACUGGAACUGAGACACGGUCCAGACUCCUACGGGAGGCAGCAGUAGGGAAUCUUCCGCAAUGGGCGAAAGCCUGACGGAGCAACGCCGCGUGAGUGAUGAAGGUCUUCGGAUCGUAAAACUCUGUUAUUAGGGAAGAACAUAUGUGUAAGUAACUGUGCACAUCUUGACGGUACCUAAUCAGAAAGCCACGGCUAACUACGUG
rnacentral:rRNA from 1 species